AACAGCCGCGGUAAUUCCAGCUCCAAUAGCGUAUAUUAAAGUUGUUGCAGUUAAAAAGCUCGUAGUUGAAUUUCGGGGUCAGUAGGUUGGUCAUGCCACUGGUAUGUACUGGUCUCACUGAUUCCUCCUUCCUGAUGAACCGUAAUGCCAUUAAUUUGGUGUUGCGGGGAGACUGGACUGUUACUUUGAAAAAAUUAGAGUGUUUAAAGCAGGCUAACGCUUGAAUACAUUAACAUGGAAUAAUGAAAUAGGACGUUCGAUCCUAUUUUGUUGGUUUCUAGGAUUGACGUAAUGAUUAAUAGGGAUAGUUGGGGGCAUUAGUAUUCAAUUGUCAGAGGUGAAGUUCUUGGAUUUAUUGAAGACUAACUACUGCGAAAGCAUUUGCCAAGGAUGUUUUCAUUAAUCAAGAACGAAAGUUAGGGGAUCGAAGACGAUCAGAUACCGUCGUAGUCUUAACCAUAAACUAUGCCGACUAGGGAUCGGAUGAUGUUAAUUUUUUAAUGACUCAUUCGGCGCCUUA
rnacentral:rRNA from 1 species